AUUGAACGCUGGCGGAAUGCUUUACACAUGCAAGUCGAACGGCAGCACGGGUGCUUGCACCUGGUGGCGAGUGGCGAACGGGUGAGUAAUGCACCGGAACGUAUCCAAUAAUGGGGGAUAACGCACCGAAAGGUGUGCUAAUACCGCAUACGCCCUGAGGGGGAAAGCGGGGGGAUCGUAAGACCUCGCGUUAAUGGAGCGGCCGAUGCCGGAUUAGCUAGUUGGUGAGGUAAAGGCUCACCAAGGCGACGAUCCGUAGCUGGUCUGAGAGGACGACCAGCCACACUGGAACUGAGACACGGUCCAGACUCCUACGGGAGGCAGCAGUGGGGAAUUUUGGACAAUGGGCGCAAGCCUGAUCCAGCCAUUCCGCGUGAGUGAAGAAGGCCUUCGGGUUGUAAG
rnacentral:rRNA from 1 species